rnacentral:rRNA from 1 species
CCGGACCCCACUGCUAUCGGGAUGGGACUAAGACAUGCUAGUCGUGCGCUUUCUAGCCAUGCUGGAAGCGCGGCACACAGCUCAGUAGCACGUGGCUAACCUGCCCUUGGGACGGGAACAACCCCGGGAAACUGGGGCCAAUUCCCGAUAGGUGAAGAUCCCUGGAAUGGGUUUUCGCCCAAAAGACGUUUGGGUCAUGCUUUCAAACGUUGCCCAAGGAUGGGGCCGCGGCCGAUCAGGUUGUUGGUGAGGUAACGGCUCACCAAGCCUUUGACCGGUUCGGGCCGUGAGAGCGGUAGCCCGGAGAUGGGCACUGAGACAAGGGCCCAGGCCCUACGGGGCGCAGCAGUCGCGAAAACUUCGCAAUAAGCGAAAGCUUGACGGGGCCAUCCCGAGUGCCAUCUGCUGAGGAUGGCUUUUACCCAGUAUAGAUAGCUGGGGGAAUAAGGAGAGGGCAAGUCUGGUGUCAGCCGCCGCGGUAAUACCAGCUCUCCGAGUUGUGGGGACGUUUAUUGAGCUUGAAGCAUCCGUAGCCGGCUGUGCAAGUCCCCUGUUAAAUCCAGCGACUAAUCGUUGGCCUGCGGGGGAUACUGCUCGGCUAGGGGGCGGGAGAGGCCGUCGGUAUUCUUGGGGUAGGGGUGAAAUCCUAUAAUCCCAGGAGGACCACCAGUGGCGAAGGCUGUCGGCUAGAACGCGCCCGACGGUGAGGGAUGAAAGCUGGGGGAGCGAACCGGAUUAGAUACCCGGGUAGUCCCAGCUGUAAACGAUGCAGGCUAGGUGUUAGGGCGGCUACGUGCCGCUCUAGUGCCGCAGGGAAGCUGUUAAGCCUGCCGCUUGGGGAGUACGGCCGCAAGGCUGAAACUUAAAGGAAUUGGCGGGGGAGCACCACAAGGGGUGAAGCUUGCGGUUUAAUUGGAUCAACGCCGG